AGUGAUGGAGAGAGAGUAAGGAAUAGUGAUAGAGAGAAGGAGAGAGAGUAAGGGAUAGUGAUAGAGAGAAGGAGAGAGAGUAAGAGAUAGUGAUAGAGAGAAGGAGAGAGAGUAAGGGAUAGUGAUAGAGAGGAGAGAGAGUAAGGGAUAGUGAUAGAGAGUAAGGGAUAGUGAUAGAGAGGAGAGAGAGUAAGGGAUAUUGAUAGAGAGGAGAGAGAGUAAGGGAUAGUGAUAGAGAGAAGGAGAGAGUAAGGGAUAGUGAUAGAGAGGAGAGAGAGUAAGGGAUAGUGAUAGAGAGGAGAGAGAGUAAGGGAUAGUGAUAGAGAGUAAGGGAUCGUGAUAGAGAGAAGGAGAGAGAGUAAGGGAUAGUGAUAGAGAGAAGGAGAGAGAGUAAGGGAUAGUGAUAGAGAGAGUAAGGGAUAGUGAUAGAGAGGAGAGAGAGUAAGGGAUAGUGAUAGAGAGAGUAAGGGAUAGUGAUAGAGAGAAGAGAGAGUAAGGGAUAGUGAUAGAGAGGAGAGAGAGUAAGGGAUAGUGAUAGAGAGAAGAGAGAGUAAGGAAUGGUGAUAGAGAGAAGGAGAGAGAGUAAGGGAUGGUGAUAGAGAGAGUAAGGGAUAGUGAUAGAGAGAAGAGAGAGUAAGGAAUGGUGAUAGAGAGAAGGAGAGAGAGUAAGGGAUAGUGAUAGAGAGAGUAAGGGAUAGUGAUAGAGAGGAGAGAGAGUAAGGGAUAGUGAUAGAGAGAAGGAGAGAGAGUAAGGGAUAGUGAUAGAGAGAAGGAGAGAGAGUAAGGGAUGGUGAUAGAGAGUAAGGAAUGGUGAUAGAGAGAAGGAGAGAGAGUAAGGAAUGGUGAUAGAGAGAAGGAGAGAGAGUAAGGAAUGGUGAUAGAGAGAAGGAGAGAGAGUAAGGAAUGGUGAUAGAGAGGAGAGAGAGUAAGGAAUGGUGAUAGAGAGAAGGAGAGAGAGUAAGGAAUGGUGAUAGAGAGAAGGAGAGAGAGUAAGGAAUGGUGAUAGAGAGAAGGAG
ensembl:lncRNA